GGGCGAGUGGUGGAACGGUAUACACGACGGACUUAAAAUCCGUUGCCCGAUGAGGGCUUGAGGGUUCAAAUCCCUCCCCGCCUA
rnacentral:tRNA from 1 species